AUCCGUCUGACGAGUCCCAAAUAGGACGGAACGUACGUCAUGGAU
rfam:Schistosoma rodhaini strain Burundi genome assembly, scaffold: SROB_scaffold0002043